AUUGAACGCUGGCGGCAGGCCUAACACAUGCAAGUCGAGCGAGCGGCGGACGGGUGAGUAAUGUCUGGGAAACUGCCUGAUGGAGGGGGAUAACGUCCGGAAACGGGCGCUAAUACCGCAUACUAUCAGAUGUGCCCAGAUGGGAUUAGCUAGUAGGUGGGGUAACGGCUCACCUAGGCGACGAUCCCUAGCUGGUCUGAGAGGAUGACCAGCCACACUGGAACUGAGACACGGUCCAGACUCCUACGGGAGGCAGCAGUGGGGAAUAUUGCACAAUGGGCGCAAGCCUGAUGCAGCCAUGCCGCGUGUGUGAAGAAGGCCUUCGGGUUGUAAAGCACUUUCAGCGGGGAGGCGUUACCCGCAGAAGAAGCACCGGCUAACUCCGUGCCAGCCGCCGCGGUAAUUC
rnacentral:rRNA from 1 species